rnacentral:rRNA from 1 species
CCGGCGCGCCAACCCGCAAGGGAAGCAGCCGUCUACGCUAUGAGCGGUAACUGGGAUGAAGUCGUAACAAGGUAGCCGUAGGGGAACCUGCGGCUGGAUCACCUCCUUU